GCACUGCGAGCCGCGCCGGAGGCUGAAGUCAGAGCCGAUUCCCAGCCCGGCGCGGCGCAGCAGCAGGUCCCAGCCCGGGCCCACACCCCCCUCGCGGCGCGGGGCACGCGAGCUCGCCCGGGGUCGGAGCGCUGGGCCGCCAGCGCUCUCCCGCGGGGGCGGGGCAGGACACCCGCGCUCAGCGCGCCGGGGCUAAGGGGUGGGCGUCCUCGCGCCCGCAGGGGCAGGAGCUUCGCGGCGGGAAUCGACCUCCCGCUAAAGCGACCCCAGGGGCUGCAGAUAGACAUUUAAGAGCAAUGAGUAAAUUCUCAUACAGCACGAGAGAUGAGGCAGAUAACAUGAAAGUCAAGGCGCAUGCAGUUCACUAGGAAAUAUGACCAUGCAAAUGUCAGUGGAAUAAAAGCUAAAAAAGAAAGCAGAAAACAUGAGCAACUACAACGGAAGAGUUUGGCGACAGGAAACAACGGAGGGAAAACUGUGUGGAUUAUGUAGUAAAACACACCAGCCUCCCUGGAAAACGUGCUAAGCCCAAGAUGCUACAUGUCAGAAAAAGGGACUUUGAGCAGGGAAUGGUGAUAACACGAGAUAGAUCCAGAGAAAGAGGUUAUAGCCACAGCAGAGACUUUAAUAGGGCUGUCUGUGAAAGAACAUAGGAUUCUGAUGAACCACAGAAGAAGAAAAAAAUUCACUGAUGAAAUGGAAUUAUAAACAUGGUUAGAGAGUUGCUUUUAUCUUGUGGGAAUUGUGAGAGUGGUUUAUAAAACAAAACUAAAACUAAAACCAGAUGUCUGUGAUAGAAAUGGCUAUAGACCUGCCAAUAUCUAAUCAUAGUGAGAAGCAAUGUAUAGAUUAAUCAGCAAAUGUAGCAUGUAAAAGCAUCAAAGAGCAGGGAACUCAGGGCAGACAAAAAUGGGUUGCUGGAUUCUAACAAGUCUCCAGUGACGAUUUUGAAUAUAUGUUUUCAAUGUUCAGUUCCUUGAAGAACUUUCAGACUGCUCUUGUUGAAGUCAGGAAGAAUGAGUUUCCUUUCCACAAACCCAGGCUCUAAUGAUAGCUGUAGAGAUGCCAUUGGUAAACCUUGGUGCAUGCCACAUUGUUGUAGCCAUGUCAGUCCCAGGAUAUUAGAGAAACAAAGUGGGUGAGGUAAUGUUUUCCCUAAUCAGUGUGGGGAGGGAAUUCUUCCCUCUCCCUGCCCCCCAACCUAUAUUAGCCAAACUACUAUCUGUGCAGUGUUUCUAUCGAUAUAGUAAUCUUCAAGAAAAAAAAUCCAUCCCACACUAAUCUGGGAAAUCUUGCUCCUUGCGUAGACAGUGCUUUACAAACAAGUUCCCGUAGGCUUCUCUUAGACACAAGAUGUACUCACUGUGCCCUAGAUCUUCAAAAGAUAACACACCUGAGGGAGACACUUGUCACUACUACUCUUGUUUAAAUUCUAGUGAACAAAAUACCAUAGCAUCAGUUCAAAAAAGGAAACAUGAGCACAAGAUCAAAAGGUGUCAGGCAGAUGUAGUACAUACAAUGCACAGCAUCUUCAAAGCUGCCUUGAAUUUCAAUAGAAAAUACUAGUUAUCUUUUAUAAAUACAACAGUACAGAAUAAAAAUGAACAUAGCUGUUUCAGGUUUGUAAUAGAGAAAAUGCAGUAAGGGAGGAAUUUGUGCCCAAAUAUCAUGGCUAUAUCCCAAAUUCACAACUUCUGGGCACAAAUCCAAUCUCUGUUAGAGGAAAAAAUAUGGAUAUAAGAAACCAGGUCUCUCUAUUAGAUGCAUGUCUCAGUGCCUUUUCAGUUGACCUUUCUUUAAUAGUUCCAAGACAUUUUUUACAGUGGCAAAAAGCAAAUGUAUUAUCAUCAUGCUGCUCAACUAACAAAUGAACUUUGGCGAACAAAAUUAAAAUAAUCCUUGUUUCUGGCAUAGACAAUGGUUAUGUCUGCAACAAUGGGGUCUGUACUUGUAGCACAGUAACAAACCCUAGAAACAUUUAGUGACUACACUUUAUUUUUGGCUUCACUCCCACCAGACUAACUUCAGAUAAUCUAAUUUAAAUCCACAUUUGAAUAGCAACAAGGCCAUUACAAUGCAAGGCAUUACAUACUACAGGGAUGAGAGCUAUGAAGUGUAUAUAAUAAACAAGAGAUGGUGAACUCUUGAUGUUGAUUACUCUGCUAAAUAACUACUCCACUUUUAAAAAACUCAUGGUAUUCUCCUUAUUGGGAAAAUAAUGCAGCCUUACCAGAACAAGUUCCCCUCCCCCCUCAGACCACACUAAUGCAGAGAACAGAUAUUCACUAAAGGCAGAACAACAUUAGGGUGGAGAGAGAGUUUAUUGUACAAGUGAGAGACUGGAAGAGGCAGAUAUUUUCUCUGGUGCCUCCAGCAACAAGAAUUAAUGGUGGUUAUUUAUGUGUAACUGGAGAUUCUUUGAGGUGUGUGGUCCCUAUCUGCAUUCCACAUGUAGGUAUGCAUGUGCACCAUGCAAUUGAGUCUGGAAUUUUUUUCGCAAGCAGUGUCUGUUGGCCUGCACAUGCACCAUAACUUUUCUCAUGCUCCAAAGCAAGGGAUUAAAGGUUGGUGUGGGCUGACGAUUUUCCAGUUCCUAUCCUUACUGAAGUCUAAAUCUGCAGCAGGGGGAUGGAUGGUGGGUAGUGGAAUACAGAUAGGGACCCCCCAUCUCAAAGAACUUCCAGUUACAAGUAAGUAAUCUCCCAUUUCUUUUUCAAGUGAUAGUCCCUCUAUGUAUUCCACAUGUGGGAGAUUAAUAAACAGCAAACAAACAGGAGGUGGGUGCAAGGACGCAGAAGUGAUAGCUGACAGUAAUACUGCUGUCCCAACAGGUGUAUGUGCAGUAGAAACCUGGACCAGAGCAUAAUGUCUGGUGAAGAUAUGGAAAGAGCUCCAAGUAGCUCCCAUACAUCUUUCUAGUAGGGGGAGGUCUCUCAGAGACAUAGCAGGGUCUGCUUGCCCUCCGCUGGAAUGUGCCCUCACCCCUUCCAGUGGGUGUGGGGUAGGGGGAUGCAGGUGAGUGCAGAUCUCAUCAGUAGAGGUGACCAUGAUGGAGUCCCAGAAUCGUAAAAGAGCUCCAGCAUGGACCGAACGGGAGAUACGGGAUCUGAUCACUGUAUAAGGAGACAAAUCUGUGCUAUCAGAACUCCGUUCCAAAAGACAAAAUGCCCAAAUAUUUGAAAAAACGUCCAAGGCCAUGAAGGACAGAGGCUAGAACAAGGACCUGCAACAGUGCCGGGUGAAACUUAGCAGCUCAGGCAAGCCUACCAAAAAAACCAAAGGCAAAUGGCCGCUCGGGGUCAAAGCCCCAGACAUGCCACUUCUAUGAUGAGCUACAUGCCAUUCUAGGGAAUGCAGCCACCACUACUCCACCCCUGUGCUUUGACUCUGUCAAUGGAUUUUCAUGCAACAGGGAUGUGCAUUUUGGGGAUAGUGCACAGCAAGCAAGCGGAGAAACCGUUUUCCCUGAGAGCCAGGAACUGUUUCUUACCUUAGACCUGGAGCCAAUACCCCCGAACCCACCCAAAGCGGGCUCCCAGACCCACCAGGUGAAGAAGGGACCUCUGCUGGGUGUACCUUUCAAGGUUCACCGGAUCCUCUC